GACGAACGCUGGCGGCGUGCUUAACACAUGCAAGUCGAACGGAAAGGCCUGCUUUCCCUUGUGGAUUGCGGGUACUCGAGUGGCGAACGGGUGAGUAACACGUGAGUGAUCUGCCCCCAACUUGGGUAUAAGCCUGGGAAACUGGGUCUAAUUCCCGAUAGGACUGCAGGGUGGUGCCUGUGGUGGAAAACGAUUUUCUAGUGGUUGGGGAUGAGCUCGCGGCCUAUCAGCUUGUUGGUGGGGUAAUGGCCUACCAAGGCGGCGACGGGUAGCCGGCCUGGGAGGGUGGACGGCCACAUUGGGACUGAGAUACGGCCCAGACUCCUACGGGAGGCAGCAGCGGGGAAGAUUGCACAAUGGGCGGAAGCCUGAUGCAGCGACGCCGCGUGGGGGAUGACGGCCUUCGGGUUGUAAACUCCUUUCGACCGCGAGGAAGCCACCUGGUUGGAAGGGUGGUGACGGUAGUGGUAGAAGAAGCACCGGCUAACUACGUG
rnacentral:rRNA from 1 species